rnacentral:rRNA from 1 species
GGAAAGGCUUACGGUAAAUACCUAGGCAUUCAGAGAUAAAGAAGGGCAUAGUAAGCGGUGAAAUGCUUCGGAGAGUUGAAAAUAAGUGUAGAUCCAGAGAUUCUCGAAUAGGUCAACCUUUCGAACUGCUGCUGCAUCCAUGGGUAAAUAAGAGACAACCUGACAAAUUGAAACAUCUUAGUAACUGGAGGAAAAGAAAGCAAAAGCGAUUCCCAUAAUAGUGAUAAGUGAAAUGAGAGUAGCCUAAACCAUGAAAACAAAAUUAUGGGAGAGCAAUAAUAGCGUUGUGUUACUAGGCAAAGCGAUGAAGUACCGAACCCUAGAUGACAUAGUCUAGUAGCCAAAAGCAUCACUAACUUACGUUCUGACCCGAGUAGCAUGAGGCACGUGGAAUCCCUUGUGAAUUAGCAAGGACCACCUUGCAAGGCUAAAUACUUCUAGUUGAUAGAUAGGGAAGUAGUACCGUGAGGGAAGGGUCAAAAGAACCCCUUAGGAGAGUGAAAUAGAACAUGAAACCGUAAGCUCUUAAGCAAAGAGAGGAGCCAAAGGGUUUGACCGCGUGCCUGUUGAAGAAAAAGCAGACGACUCAUAGAUAGUGGCUUAGUUAAAAGAACCUACCGGAGCCGUAGCAAAAGCGAGUCUUCAUAGGGUAAUUAUCACUGUUUAUGAACCUGAACCUGGGUGAUCUAUCCAUGACCAGGAUGAAGCUUGGGUGAAAUUAAGUGGAGGUCCGAACCGACUAAUGUUGAAGAAUCAGUGAAUUAGUUGUGGUUAUGGGUGAAAUGCUACUAGAACCUAAAGCUAGCUGGUUCUCUCCGAAAUGCAUUGAGGCACAACAGUUGACUAGACAUCUAGGGGUAAAGCACUGUUCGAUGCGAGCUACAAGAGCGGUACCAAAUCAAGGCAAACUCUGAAUACUAAAUAUGACCUCAAAAUAACAGGGGUCGAGGUCGACCAGUAAGAUGAUAGGAGAUAAGCUUCAUCGUCGAGAGGGAAACAGACCGGAUCACCAACUAAGGCCCUUAAAUGACCCCUCAGUGAUAAAUGAGGUAUGGGUGCAGAGAUAACCAAGAGGUUUGCCUAGAAACAGUCACCCUUAAAAGAGUGUGUAAUAGCUCACUAAUCGAGCGCUCUUGCGCCAAAGAUGAACGGGGCUACACGAUUUGUCGAAGCUAUGAGAUGUAAAAAUGUAUCAGUAGGGGAGCAUUUCACCUUAAGAGGAAGCACUCGCAUGAGCGGGAGUCGAUGAAGGGGAAGCGAGAAUCUAAUGCCCCGAAAACCCAAGGGUUCCUUCACAAGGUUUGUCUACAGAGGGUGAGUCAAGGCCUAAGAUUUAGCUGAAAGACGUAGUCAAUGGACAAUAAAUGAAUAUUCAUGUACUACCUUUUAUUGGUCCUAAGGGACGGAGAAGUCUAGGUUAGCCGAAAGAUGGUUAUCGGUUUAAGGAUGUAAGGUGCCUCUACUUUUUUAGGGUAAGAAGGGGUAAAAAAAAUGCUUCAAGCCAAUGUUCGAGUACUAGGUGCUACAACGUUGAAGUAACCCAUGCUAUACUCCUAGGAAAAGCUCGAACGACCUUCAACAAAAGGGUACUUGUACCUGAACCGACACAGGUUGGUAAGUAGAGAAUACUUAAGGGCAUGAGACAACUCUCUCUAAGAAACUCGGUAAAAUAGCCCUGUAACUUCGGGAGAAAGGGUGCCUCCUCACAAAGGGGGUUCAGUGAACAGGUCUAGACGACUGUUUACCAAAAAUAACGGUCUUUGUAAAGUUGUAAAGCAUGUAUAAAAGCAGUCGUCUACCCAGUGCCGAAAGGUCAAAGAAGUUGAUGACUUUAUGAUAAGAGAGUCGACGAUCGAAGCUCCGGUGAACGACGGUCGUAACUAUAACAAUCUUAAGGUAGCAAAAUUCCUUAUUGGGUAAGUUUCGACUCACACGAAACUUUGGGCCUUUCCUAUGCAGCUUAGGUGGAAGGCGAAGAAGGUCUCUUUCUGGGGGGCUCAAGCUAUCAGUGAGAUACCACUCUAGGAGAGCUAGAAUUCUAACCUUGUGUCAGGACCUACGAGCCAAGAGACAGACUCAAGUAGACAAUUUCUUUGGGGUGUAGGCCUCCCAACAGGUAACAGAGGCAUGCAAAGGUUUUCUCGGGCCGAACGGAGAUUAGCCAUUGAGUGCAAAGGCAAAAGGGAGCUUGAUUGCAAGACCUACCCGUCGAGCAGGGACAAAAGUUGGCCUUAGUGAUCCGACGAUGGCGAGUGGAAGAGUCGUCGCUCAACGGAUAAAAGUUACUCUAGGAAUAACAGGCUGAUCUUCCUUAAGAACUCACAUCGAUAGGAAGGUUUGACACUUCGAUGUCGACUCUUUGCCACCUGGGGCUAUAGUAUGUUCCAAGGGUUGGGUUGUUCGCCCAUUAAUGCGGUAUGUGAGCUGGAUUCAUAACGUCGUGAGAUAGUUCGGUCCAUAUCCAGUGUGGGAGUUAGAACAUUGAGAAGACCUUUCCCUAGUACGAAAGGAACUAAAAGGACGCACCACUAGUGUACCAGUAUCGUGCCCACGGUAAAUGCUGGGUAGCCAAGUAUGAAACGGAUAACUGCUAAAAUAGAAAAAAUUUUCAUUUAAGCUCCUUUAAAAUUUAUAAAAAUAUAAAUUAGCGAAAGUAAAAUUGUAUUUUAGUGCUCCUAAAAAUGAUAAAAAUUUGAUUUAAUCUUUUAAAAAUUAUAAAGAUAUAAAUAUUAAAAAUGGUGAAAUUACAUUUUUAAUAUCGUAAAAAUAUACAAUUU